UCUUCAGAUUUAUAUGUGGUGAUUUUAUGGGUGGUACAUUCGUACAUACAUGCAUACAUUCGUAGUUAUACGUACGUGCGGAGGCAGUAUAAAGACACGAAAAUAUCUAGCAUGCAGAUUAAGUAAAUUUAUACAUCAUUCAUAAACUCAUCAAAACGUCCGACAAUGUUGGUACUGCCACAUUAGUGAGGAAAGGCAAAUAGAAAAUAGUAAACAUCAAGUAAAGGUUCACAUCAGUCAGAACUGACAUUUAGAAGAUGAAAGCUAGACUGGCAUCGAUGACCUGUGUGGGUGUUGAUAGGACUUAUUUAUAACUGAUUUUGAUGUCAUCGAAAAAAUAAUAAUACCUCCUCAAUUAUUUGGAAACACUGGAAAUGGAUAUAACUCUAAGAUAUAUGUCUUUGCAAAGAGGUUGUAUACAAAUUUGUAUUGUUUGUGGCCGAAGCAUACAACUUGACAACCCUCCAGGUUGUACCAACGGAUGCGGCCGUGUGGCUUGAAUUAUUAUGUGAAAUUUACCUACAAUUACACUGAACACCUUGUUACUGCGCCAUGACUUGUAUAACGUCUAAAAGCAAAUUUAUGCGUAGCUGCUGUUAGGUUUGUUGGACAACAUCACUUGCUGUUGUCGGUAUUCUUCUACCAUGCAUGGGCCCCAAGAUAAAAUAAUACAGGUAGCCGCAUCACAACAUCAAUAAACUGUCAAAACAUUUUUGGAAUUCAAAUUGUUUAAUGAAAACUCCCAUUUCUUAACAGCCUCUAAACGGCAUCGGUUUAAAAAGUAUGUAAAAAUCAGAUUAUUUUUGCGGAUUUUUUUUAACA